UACGUAGGGUGCGAGCGUUGUCCGGAAUUACUGGGCGUAAAGAGCUCGUAGGUGGUUUGUCGCGUUGUUCGUGAAAACCGGGGGCUUAACCCUCGGCGUGCGGGCGAUACGGGCAGACUUGAGUACUGCAGGGGAGACUGGAAUUCCUGGUGUAGCGGUGGAAUGCGCAGAUAUCAGGAGGAACACCGGUGGCGAAGGCGGGUCUCUGGGCAGUAACUGACGCUGAGGAGCGAAGGCGUGGGGAGCGAACGGG
rnacentral:rRNA from 1 species